rnacentral:rRNA from 1 species
GACGAACGCUGGCGGCGUGCUUAACACAUGCAAGUCGAACGGAAAGGCCCUGCUUGCAGGGUACUCGAGUGGCGAACGGGUGAGUAACACGUGGGUGAUCUGCCCUGCACUUCGGGAUAAGCCUGGGAAACUGGGUCUAAUACCGGAUAGGAGCCAUUUUUAGUGUGAUGGUUGGAAAGUUUUUUCGGUGUAGGAUGAGCUCGCGGCCUAUCAGCUUGUUGGUGGGGUAAUGGCCUACCAAGGCGGCGACGGGUAGCCGGCCUGAGAGGGUGGACGGCCACAUUGGGACUGAGAUACGGCCCAGACGCCUACGGGAGGCAGCAGGGGGGAAUAUUGCACAAUGGGCGCAAGCCUGAUGCAGCGACGCCGCGUGGGGGAUGACGGCCUUCGGGUUGUAAACUCCUUUCGCUAGGGACGAAGCUUUUUGUGACGGUACCUGGAUAAGAAGCACCGGCUAACUACGUG